GCACAAGCAGAGGAGCGCGUGGUUUAAUUCGACGGCAAUCGAAGAACCUUACCAGGGUUUGAAAUGUAUCUGCAUGCCCUAUGAAAAUAGGGAGGCCUUCGAGGGUGAUACACAGGUGCUGCAUGGCCGCCGUCAGCUCGUGUCGUGAGAUGUAGGGUUAAGUCCCGAAACGAGCGCAACCCCUAUUCUAUGUUACAAGUGUCUUAGAAAACCGCUCGGUAAAACGAGGAGGAAGGUGGGGAUGACGUCUGGUCCGCAUAGCCCUUAUGUCCUGGGCUACACACGCGCUACAAUGGCCGAUACAGUAGGAAGCCAAAUCGUAAGAUGGAGCUAAUCCUUAAAGUCGGUCUCAGUUCGGAUUGAGGUCUGAAAUUCGACCUCAUGAAGUUGGAUUUGCUAGUAAUCGUAGAUCAGCAAUGCUACGGUGAAUACGUUCUCGGGUCUU
rnacentral:rRNA from 1 species